GGCCGGGGCGCAUCGCGCUGCCCGCUGCAGAGCGCUGUCACGCCCACAUUUAACAGCCCCACAAGGACUUUGCGGGCCUCGGUGGCGACGUGUUUUCCUACUGAAGGCUGAGUUAAUAUUUAAUAGUUAGAGGCCGUGUCCGGGCGUCUUGUGCAAGCGGCAGGUUGCUUCCAAGAAUCUAGACGGCUUUCUGGCCAGUUCAGCUUUAAAGUGUGUGUUUGUCUUGAUUAAUUCUGUUAUGUGCUAAGCGGGCGUUUGCCUUCUCGGCCUGAAGUUUAUGCUUUCUUGCUUUACAGUAUGAAAACCCCUGGACGAUCCCAAAUAUACUGUCAAUGGCAAGAAUGGGUUUGGCGCCAGUUUUAGGCUAUUUGAUUGUUGAAGAAAAUUUCAAUGUUGCACUAGGUGUCUUUGUUUUGGCUGGCGUAACGGAUUUGCUGGAUGGAUUUAUUGCACGAAACUGGGCUAAUCAGAAAUCAGCUUUGGGAAGUGCUCUUGAUCCUCUUGCUGAUAAAAUUCUCAUCAGUGUGCUCUAUGUGAGCCUAACUUGUGCAAAUCUUAUCCCAGUUUCACUUACUUCCAUGAUUAUUCUGAGGGAUGUAGCGCUCAUUGCUGCAGUUUUUUAUGUGCGAUAUAAAACUCUUUCUCCACCGAGAACACUCAGUAGGUAUUUUAACCCCUGUUAUGCUACUGCACAAUUAAAACCAACAUUCAUUAGCAAGAUGAACACAGCGGUUCAGCUAGUAUUGGUGGCAGCUUCUUUAGCAGCUCCUGUUUUCGAUUAUGUGGACAGCAUAUAUCUGCAGACAUUAUGGUUUCUGAAGCCACUUUGAAAAGCACCUGAAGAGAUCGAUGAUUCCUGCUAGACUAUAGGAAGGAAGGGGAGGGAUCAAAUGAAAACAGGCAUACAGGAGCGUACCUCCUUAUGUAAUGGCUGUUCCUUUCACUGCUAUCACUGCAGAUCUGAACUGUAUCUGAAUCUGAAUUGUAGCUGACAGCAGGUGAACAAGUGCAGUUACUUCUCCCGAGCAGUUAGGUGUAUCACGGCUUUCACAACGGUAACAUCUGCGUACAGCUAUUACCACUACGGCCGAAAAACGGUUCAGGUGAUAAAUAACAAAUGAAGUAUUCCUGAAAGGACCAGGUCUUUGCAGCAUGGUGUGCCGUACUGCCGAAGAGUGUUUUAUUGCAGCUGAGUUUUGGAUCAAGAACUCUUGUUUUUCUGCUUAAACCAUGGCAUUGCAAUGAAGCGAAGUUUCAACAUGUACUGUGUAUAUAUAGAGACUUUUCAAUGUAUUUUUAAUUUGUUUAAAAAUAAGGUUGUUUACAACAACAAAUAAAUAAUAUUCUUAAAGAGACAGGUUACUGGUUGCUGCCAUGUGCAUUCUGAAUAAUUUUAUACUGGUUUUAAGUCAAAAUAUGCACUUCACUAGCUUUUCACCAUCUUCAUGCAAGGCACUGAGUAGGCUGAGAGUGAGAACAAAAAGUGAUUAUAAGAACAAAUUUGUCUUUGUACCUCAACCUAAGUCAGUAAACCCACAUUGCUCAUCAGAACUUAAUGACAUACAUCAGUUUGCAGCAGAAGAAAGCAGGAACAGUAUCUUCAGAAAUUCAAACCAGAAUGAUAGAAAUUUUACUUUGUAUUCCAUAGUGAUACAGAUAAGCCAUGAAGAGUUACUACCUUGCACCCUUUCCUU